GACGAACGCUGGCGGCGUGCUUAACACAUGCAAGUCGAACGGUGAAGGGAUCAGCUUGCUGGUUCUGGAUGAGUGGCGAACGGGUGAGUAACACGUGAGUAACCUGCCCCCUUCUUCUGGAUAACCGCAUGAAAGUGUGGCUAAUACGGGAUAUUCUGCGCCUGCUGCAUGGUGGGGGUGGGAAAGAUAUUGUUUCGGUGGGGGAUGGGCUCGCGGCCUAUCAGCUUGUUGGUGGGGUGAUGGCCUACCAAGGCGGUGACGGGUAGCCGGCCUGAGAGGGGUGACGCUGACAGUGGGACUGGGACACGUCCCAGAGACCUACGGGAGGGAGCAGUAGGGGAUAUUGCACAAUGGGCGCAAGCCUGAUGCAGCGACGCCGCGUGAAGGAUGGAGGCCUUCGGGUUGUGGACCUCUGUCGCCAGAGAAGCAGGCCUGUCCGUUGUGGGUGGGUUGACGGUAGCUGGAGAAGAAGCGCCGGCUAACUACGUG
rnacentral:rRNA from 1 species